UCCAGAAAUUCAGUUCGGUCUUGAGGACAUCCCAGAAGAGAGGGUCCCAGAGAUGGAAGAUAUUAGAAAGGAUAUCGAGGAAGAAUUAAGGCCACGGGAUGCUAUUGAAGGUUUGGUGACCUUUCACUCUCUGCUGCCCCCUCAGGCCAGCCGCAGAAUUGUUGCCCAAAUGUUUUUGAGAUUGCUAGGUAAGAUUAUGGCAGAAGAUUUACCAUUCUAUAAUGCCCGACAAAAUCAAUGAAAAGAAAUUAUGGAAUUGAAAUUUUGCUGAAAAGAAUUGGGAGCACUGGGACUGUUCUCAGAGGCAUGACCUACCGAAAUCAAAUUUAUUUUCAACUGAAACAUACAAAGACUUAAAGGGAGAAAGAAUUAUACUGGUCAGGUAUACUGUAGGUGACAUAUGCCACCCCGUCCCACUUCAGCUGCGAUCUGUCUACCCAUGAGCCUCCUCACCUGCUAGCUGCCAAAAAUGGUGUGAGAUUAAGCACCACAAUUAACAAAACAAAGGCAUUUAAAUUCUCCCCAAUGCUUAAUUUAUUGAAAAGUGCAAUCACCCGGACAGAUAUGCUGUCUUGUCUUGUCUCGUCUUGUGUUUACAGAGGAAAUAGUCGCAGGACAGGUCACAGUGCGACAGGACGAGCCGUAUGGUGACAUAAUCAUUUCACAGCUGUAGAUCGAUGAGGACUGAUGAGGACUUGCCAUUGUUUCUGGACAAAACUGGUAUGAGGGUAUUUAUUCACAUGGCUUAUUAUAUCAGUGUUCUGGUUUAUGAAUUUUUAAACAACUGAAACAUUUUUAGUUGUGGUAACGUUACUGAUGGUUUAACACGUUUGUCAUUGUUAUUUUAUUAUUGUGAUAUUUUGUACUCUAUGAAAAAAAGUUUUGUCUCUUUAAGAAUUAACUUAAGAAUAUUUUAUGCAGUGUUUUCUAUAUUAUUCUAAUGAUACCAUGUUUAUUACAGUAUUUCUGUUUUUACUAUAAUAGUAAAUUGUUCUGUUAACAUAAUUAGGUUUUACUGUUCCACACUUAAUAUUUAUUUCUUAACAUUUAUCAAAUUUUUACAUACAGCAC
rnacentral:lncRNA from 1 species